CGGACGGGUGAGUAAUGUCUGGGAAACUGCCCGAUGGAGGGGGAUAACUACUGGAAACGGUAGCUAAUACCGCAUAACGUCGCAGACCAAAGAGGGGACCUUCGGGCCUCUUGCCAUCGGAUGUGCCCAGAUGGGAUUAGCUAGUAGGUGGGGUAACGGCUCACCUAGGCGACGAUCCCUAGCUGGUCUGAGAGGAUGAUCAGCCACACUGGGACUGAGACACGGCCCAG
rnacentral:rRNA from 1 species